UUAGGGAGGAGCUUGCGUCACAUUAGUUAGUUGGUGGGGUAAAGGCCUACCAAGACUAUGAUGUGUAGCCGGGCUGAGAGGUUGAACGGCCACAUUGGGACUGAGACACGGCCCAAACUCCUACGGGAGGCAGCAGUAGGGAAUUUUCGGCAAUGGAGGAAACUCUGACCGAGCAACGCCGCGUGAACGAUGAAGUAUUUCGGUACGUAAAGUUCUUUUAUUAGGGAAGAAUAAAUGAUGGAAAAAUCAUUCUGACGGUACCUAAUGAAUAAGCCCCGGCUAACUAUGUGCCAGCAGCCGCGGUAAUACAUAGGGGGCAAGCGUUAUCCGGAAUUAUUGGGCGUAAAGGGUGCGUAGGCGGUUAAAUAAGUUUAUGGUCUAAGUGCAAUGCUCAACAUUGUGAUGCUAUAAAAACUGUUUAGCUAGAGUAAGAUAGAGGCAAGUGGAAUUCCAUGUGUAGUGGUAAAAUGCGUAAAUAUAUGGAGGAACACCAGUAGCGAAGGCGGCUUGCUGGGUCUUUACUGACGCUGAGGCACGAAAGCGUGGGGAGCAAACAGGAUUAGAUACCCUGGUAGUCCACGCCGUAAACGAUGAGUACUAACCGUUGGGUAAAACCAGUGUUGAAGUUAACACAUUAAGUACUCCGCCUGAGUAGUACGUACGCAAGUAUGAAACUUAAAGGAAUUGACGGGACUCCGCACAAGCGGUGGAUCAUGUUGUUUAAUUCGAAGGUACCCGAAAAACCUCACCAGGUCUUGACAUGCUUCUGCAAAGCUGUAGAAACACAGUGGAGGUUAUCAGUUGCACAGGUGGUGCAUGGUUGUCGUCAGCUCGUGUCGUGAGAUGUUGGGUUAAGUCCCGCAACGAGCGCAACCCUUAUUGUUAGUUACCAGCACGUAAUGGUGGGGACUUUAGCAAGACUGCCAGUGAUAAAUUGGAGGAAGGUGGGGACGACGUCAAAUCAUCAUGCCCCUUAUGACCUGGGCUACAAACGUGAUACAAUGGCUGUUACAAAGGGUAGCUGAAGCGCAAGUUUUUGGCGAAUCUCAAAAAAACAGUCUCAGUUCGGAUUGAAGUCUGCAACUCGACUUCAUGAAGUUGGAAUCGCU
rnacentral:rRNA from 1 species